AGGAGCGAUUUUGUUGCCAGCUGAGAACCAGCUGUUUAUUGCGUACAAAGAGAAAGGAUAGGGUUUGUGUUUUCGUCGAGUCGGGCGAUGGUUGUGCUUCGUGCUUGAUAGCAGAGCUUUGUCCAGAGUAAUUAAGCUGGACAAGUCGUGUGUUUUACUGAACUGUGGGACCUCCAAAAUGUGCGUGGAUAUUUAGUGUUUUAAUCACCUGGAUACUGGGGUAAUCAACACGUUUAUCGCGUCAGAUCGGCUUCCGCCGGGCCCGGCCGUAUGGCACUCAGUUACUGCUCAAACGGAUUUUUCUUAUUCGGAGGAGAAUGAGAUGACAGAGAGGGAAACCAAAAAACAAGUAAGAUAUUGUCUAAUCAACUCAAAACUCCUAUACAUUCAGUCUAAAAUGCGUAGAUUAAUGAUGUGAAUCUCGAGUGGGUGAGUGCGAAACAAAAAACAAUCUUUUCACUAGCAUUUUAUUUCCUUGGCAAAUCGAUGUCUGAAAUGUCAUUCGAACUGAUGAAAGUAUUCGAGCACCCGAAAUUCUGCAGAACAGCAUUUAAAGUGUUCCUUUGUCAAGAUGUGAACUAGAACUAGAGAAGAUCCAGUCCCUGAUGAUGCUCAAUGGGAAAAUUGCAAACAUCCUACAGGGUGUCUAGCAUCAGGAUUUCCCCGAUUCUAUCAGGAUUUGAG
rnacentral:lncRNA from 1 species